rnacentral:rRNA from 1 species
GUUCCAGACUCCUACGGGAGGCAGCAGUGGGGAAUAUUGCACAAUGGGGGGAACCCUGAUACAGCGACGCCGCGUGAGCGAAGAAGUAUUUCGGUAUGUAAAGCUCUAUCAGCAGGGAAGAAAAUGACGGUACCUGACUAAGAAGCACCGGCUAAAUACGUGCCAGCAGCCGCGGUAAUACGUAUGGUGCAAGCGUUAUCCGGAUUCACUGGGUGUAAAGGGAGCGUAGACGGCGACGCAAGUCUGGAGUGAAAGCCCGGGGCCCAACCCCGGGACUGCUCUGGAAACUGCGGCGCUGGAGUACGGGAGGGGCAGGCGGAAUUCCUGGUGUAGCGGUGAAAUGCGUAGAUAUCAGGAGGAACACCGGUGGCGAAGGCGGCCUGCUGGACUGCGACUGACGUUGAGGCCCGAAAGCGUGGGGAGCAAACAGGAUUAGAUACCCUUGUA